AUACGGAGGGUGCGAGCGUUAAUCGGAAUUACUGGGCGUAAAGGGCGCGUAGGUGGUUAGGUCAGUCGGAUGUGAAAGCCCCGGGCUCAACCUGGGAAUGCCAUUCGAUACUGCCUAACUAGAGUAUGGUAGAGGGAAGCGGAAUUCCGGGUGUAGCGGUGAAAUGCGUAGAUAUCCGGAGGAACACCAGUGGCGAAGGCGGCUUCCUGGAUCAAUACUGACACUGAGGCGCGAAAGCGUGGGGAGCAAACAGGAUUAGAAACCCCAGUAGUCC
rnacentral:rRNA from 1 species